UGCUGUUAGUUCUGAGAACACUUGUCUGC
rnacentral:piRNA from 1 species